GAGAGACCAAGUUGAGAUGUGCCUUGGUCUAUGUGUGAUGAGUGAUUGACUAGAUAAUUUGAGACUUUACCGGUUGAGUCCAUGUUUCAUAUGUGCAUGAUUAUGCUAACGGCUAACCAGAUGCGUUGUGUUGAGUGAGUUGUGUUGUGGUGUUUGAGUAUACCGUAUGUUGUGUGUUGUGUCUCUUGGCUUGUGAUGUGCACGUGUAGGAUGCGACGUGACGGUCGACGGCAUGAGGUGAA
rnacentral:lncRNA from 1 species